rnacentral:lncRNA from 10 species
GGAAAUAAAUGACUGGAUGGUCGCUGCUUUUUAAGUUUCAAAUUGACAUUCCAGACAAGCGGUGCCUGAGCCCGUGCCUGUCUUCAGAUCUUCACAGCACAGUUCCUGGGAAGGUGGAGCCACCAGCCUCUCCCUGGCUCUGCCGACUUCCAGUUCUGGAACAAGAUGGUUAAACUCAUUUUUCCCUGCUCUGCUCCUCUAAAUACAACUAAGUACCUUGGAAACUAUUCAGCAGACAAUGAUAAAGGGCUCUGAAAGCUAGAAGAAAAGGUGUACUUGCAAGAAACCUCAGGACUUGAGUAACAGCAACAUGAACAAUCCAUUUCACAGAUGAAGAAACAGACUCAGUGAGCACGUGAUCACUUCUCACAACUAAUGGAGCCAAGAUUCUGUCCUUAUGGCUCCAGAGACCUCUUUUUUUUCCCACUGUACCACAACACUCACCAGGACUGGAGUGCCACCUAUGACCUCAUUGCAUAAUGGAUGGCUUGUCCUCAAAUGGGCCCGGCUGGAGGUACCAUGCACCUUUGAGGGACCAAGGACCCAAGACUUGAGGUAGACACUAUUCCCAGCUGGAUACUCUCAAUGUUGAGGAUAUAGAUGCACAAACCAAUGCAGGGAGGCCUCCAGGAGCCACUGGAGAAGAAAUCUUCAGAUCCUACCAGGCCCAUAGCUGUUGCCUUUGUGGGCUCCUGGGUUAAUUUCCACACAUCAGUGGCCCACCUUAUGAUAUCCUCCCUGCAUGCCACACUCCCGGCCAUGCUCUGUGGACAGCCAUUAUUUCCAGUAAUUGCUAAUGGGAGCCAGUCUCCAAAGAGUAAUGAAUCAGAGGUGUUCCUUGGA